UACGUAGGGGGCUAGCGUUGUCCGGAAUCAUUGGGCGUAAAGCGCGUGUAGGCGGUCCGGUAAGUCCGUUGUGAAAGUCGGGGGCUCAACCCUCGAAUGCCGGUGGAUACUGUCGGGCUAGAGUGCGGAAGAGGCGAGUGGAAUUCCUGGUGUAGCGGUGAAAUGCGCAGAUAUCAGGAGGAACACCAAUUGCGAAGGCAGCUCGCUGGGACGUUACUGACGCUGAGACGCGAAAGCGUGGGGAGCAAACAGG
rnacentral:rRNA from 1 species